CAGGAUUCCCCCAGUAGCGGCGAGCGAACAGGGAAGAGCCCAGCACCGAAUCCCGCGGCCGAGACCGGACGCCGGGAGAUGUGGUGUUAGGGAGGAUCCGCGAUCCCGAGGCCGCCCGGCGCGUCCAAGUCCUUCUUGAACGGGGCCACUCACCCACAGAGGGUGCCAGGCCCGUAGGACCGCCGGCGACCGCGGGAGGGUCUCUCCUGAGAGUCGGGUUGCUUGAGAGUGCAGCCCUAAGUGGGUGGUAAACUCCAUCUAAGGCUAAAUACGGCCACGAGACCGAUAGCGAACAAGUACCGUGAGGGAAAGUUGAAAAGAACUUUGAAGAGAGAGUUCAAUAGUACGUGAAACCGUUCAGGGGUAAACCUGAGAAACCCGAAAGGUCGAAGGGGGAGAUUCAACCGCGUCUCGGAACCGACGGCGCGGGCGCGUCAGGCGACGCGCCGUCCUCCGGGGCGGCGCGCGUCCCGCGCCCGACGUCGGACCGAACGCGUGCACUUCUCCCCUUGUAGGACGUCGCGACCCGUCGGGUGCGGGUCUACGGACCGCGGCGGAGCCCCGCCGGGCGGCCUUCUGGGUCGCUCCGGCGGGACCCGCGGCUUCCCGGCCCGCCCGCCCGACGGUGGACAUCGAGGCGAGGGGCCGCGACCAGUUCGCGUCCGGCCCGCCGCAAGCGCGGACGGCAACCCGCGCGCCGGACCCGGUGCCGACGCCGGGCCCGUCCCGCUGCUGGCGGCGGUCGCCCCGGACAGACCCCGAAUCGCCGGUCGGCGACGCCGUAGCUUUGGGUACUUUCAGGACNNNNNNNNNNNNNNNNNNNNNNNNNNNNAGCAUGUGCGCGAGUCAUUGGGACUCGCGAAACCUACAGGCGAAAUGAAAGUGAAGGCCCGCCUCGCGCGGGCCGAGGGAGGAUGGGUACGCGGUCCGCGAGGACCGCGCCCCGCACUCCCGGGGCGUCUCGUUCUCAUCGCGAGAUGAGGCGCACCCAGAGCGUACACGCUGGGACCCGAAAGAUGGUGAACUAUGCCUGGUCAGGACGAAGUCAGGGGAAACCCUGAUGGAGGUCCGUAGCGAUUCUGACGUGCAAAUCGAUCGUCGGAACUGGGUAUAGGGGCGAAAGACUAAUCGAACCAUCUAGUAGCUGGUUCCCUCCGAAGUUUCCCUCAGGAUAGCUGGCGCUCGUCAAAGAGCGAGUCUCAUCCGGUAAAGCGAAUGAUUAGAGGCAUUGGGGUCGAAACGGCCUCAACCUAUUCUCAAACUUUAAAUGGGUGAGAUCUCCGGCUUGCUUGAUCGGUGAAGCCGCGAGAUUCGGAUCAGAG
rnacentral:rRNA from 1 species